ACUCCUACGGGAGGCAGCAGUAGGGAAUCUUCCACAAUGGGCGCAAGCCUGAUGGAGCAACACCGCGUGAGUGAAGAAGGGUUUCGGCCCGUAAAGCUCUGUUGUUAAAGAAGAACACGUAUGAGAGUAACUGUUCAUACGUUGACGGUAUUUAACCAGAAAGUCACGGCUAACUACGUGCCAGCAGCCGCGGUAAUACGUAGGUGGCAAGCGUUAUCCGGAUUUAUUGGGCGUAAAGAGAGUGCAGGCGGUUUUCUAAGUCUGAUGUGAAAGCCUUCGGCUUAACCGGAGAAGUGCAUCGGAAACUGGAUAACUUGAGUGCAGAAGAGGGUAGUGGAACUCCAUGUGUAGCGGUGGAAUGCGUAGAUAUAUGGAAGAACACCAGUGGCGAAGCGGCUACCUGGUCUGCAACUGACGCUGAGACUCGAAAGCAUGGGUAGCGAACAGGAUUAGAU
rnacentral:rRNA from 1 species